AAACAGAAAAAAACCCCCAAGAUGGGCAAGAAGAAACGAAGAAAAGAACCCAAGAAAUGCCAGAAAAAGUCAAGGAAAAAGGGAGUAAAAGCCCCAAGAAAGAAGGCAAGAAAGAGAGGCAAUAGAGGCCACAAAAAAGGCAAGAAAAAACCCAAGAAAUGCCAGGAAAAGGACUGCGAGAGCUUCUCCCAGGGUCGGGGGGAACACCUGGAUUCGCGCUUGGAUACGUCCAAGCAUCGCUUAAAGGAUGUGCCGAGGGACGAAUCUUUGUGCCGGGGAGCAGCAGCCGAACAGGUCCGUGCUGGAGAGUGGGAGAAAGGGCCCUGCUGGUUGCCGUGUCCUCGGUGGGCAGAGAGCUCUGACCUUGGCCGCAUGGGCUG